UACGUAGGGUGCGAGCGUUGUCCGGAAUUAUUGGGCGUAAAGAGCUCGUAGGCGGUGUGUCACGUCGGCCGUGAAAACCUGGGGCUCAACUCUGGGCGUGCGGUCGAUACGGGCAUCACUUGAGUUCGGCAGGGGAGACUGGAAUUCCUGGUGUAGCGGUGAAAUGCGCAGAUAUCAGGAGGAACACCGGUGGCGAAGGCGGGUCUCUGGGCAGUAACUGACGCUGAGGAGCGAAAGCGUGGGGAGCGAACAGG
rnacentral:rRNA from 1 species